GUCUACGGCCAUGUCACCCUGAACGUGCCCGAUCUCAUCUGAUCUCAGAAGCUAAGCAGGGUCGGGCCUGGUUAGUACUUGGAUGGGAGACCACCUAGGAAGACCAGGUGCUGUAGGCA
rnacentral:rRNA from 1 species